ACAUAAGGCUCCACCAUGAGUACGGACGCGGAGAUGGCCACUUAUGGCAAAGCUGCCAUUUACCUUUGUAAGCCAGAGAGGGAGAGGAUUGAGGCUCAAAGCGCACCAUUUGAUGCCAAGAGUGCCGUCUAUGUGCAAGAUACUAAAGAGCUGUAUUUGAAGGCCAAAGUCAUCAAGAGAGAUGGUGGCAAAGUCACUGUCAAAGUCCUGACCACUGAGGAGGAGAGGACAGUUAAAGAAGAAGAAAUCUUUCCAAUGAAUCCUCCCAAGUAUGAUAAGAUUGAGGACAUGGCCAUGAUGACCCAUCUCAAUGAAGCCUCUGUGCUGUAUAAUCUCAAAGAGCGUUAUGCAGCAUGGAUGAUCUACACUUACUCUGGACUGUUCUGUGCCACUGUGAACCCCUACAAGUGGCUCCCAGUGUACGAUGCUGAAUGUGUAUCUGCCUAUAGAGGCAAGAAGCGUAUGGAGGCUCCACCCCACAUCUUCUCUGUCUCUGACAAUGCUUUUCAGUUUAUGGCAACUGAUAGGGAGAACCAGUCUGUCUUGAUCACUGGAGAAUCUGGUGCAGGGAAGACUGUGAACACCAAGCGUGUCAUCCAGUACUUUGCAACUAUCUCAGUUGGUGGACCGAAGAGGGACGCAUCAAAGGGGUCACUGGAGGAUCAGAUUAUUGCUGCCAAUCCUCUGCUGGAGGCCUAUGGUAACGCCAAAACUGUGAGGAAUGACAACUCCUCUCGUUUUGGUAAAUUCAUCAGAAUCCAUUUUGGCACAACUGGCAAACUGUCUAGUGCUGAUAUUGAGACAUAUCUGCUGGAAAAGUCUAGAGUGACAUUCCAGCUUCCUGAUGAGAGAGGCUACCACAUCUUCUACCAGAUGAUGACUGCCCACAAACCCGAGCUGCUUGACUUGUGUCUCAUCACAACCAACCCCUACGACUUCCCCAUGUGCAGCAUGGGUCAGAUCACUGUGGCCAGCAUUGAUGACAAAGUUGAGCUGGAAGCCACUGAUAAUGCUAUUGAUAUCCUGGGCUUCUCAAAUGAAGAGAAGUUGAGCAUCUACAAGAUGACUGGUGCAGUGCUCCACCAUGGUAACAUGAAGUUCAAGCAAAAGCAGCGUGAGGAGCAGGCUGAGCCUGAUGGCACAGAGGAAGCGGACAAGGUUGCCUACUUGCUGGGUCUGAACUCUGCUGAUAUGCUGAAAGCUCUGUGCUAUCCACGGGUGAAGGUCGGAAAUGAGUAUGUCACCAAGGGACAGACUGUACCUCAGGUGAUGAACUCUGUUCCUGCCCUGGCCAAGUCUAUUUAUGAGAAGAUGUUCUUGUGGAUGGUCAUCCGCAUCAACCAAAUGUUGGACACUAAACAACCAAGGCAGUUCUACAUUGGAGUCCUGGAUAUCGCUGGCUUUGAAAUCUUUGAUUUCAACACACUGGAGCAGCUGUGCAUCAACUUCACCAAUGAGAAACUGCAACAGUUCUUCAACCACACCAUGUUUGUCCUGGAGCAAGAGGAGUACAAGAAGGAGGGUAUUAUCUGGGAGUUCAUUGACUUUGGCAUGGACUUGGCUGCCUGCAUUGAGCUGAUUGAAAAGCCCAUGGGUAUCUUCUCCAUCCUUGAAGAGGAGUGCAUGUUCCCCAAGGCAACAGAUACAUCCUUCAAGAACAAGCUGUAUGACCAGCAUCUUGGCAAAAACAAAGCAUUUGAGAAGCCAAAGCCUACCAAGGGCAAGGCUGAGGCCCACUUCUCCCUGGUGCACUAUGCUGGUACCGUGGACUACAAUAUCAAUGGCUGGCUGGACAAGAACAAGGAUCCACUGAAUGAGUCUGUCAUCCAGCUGUACCAGAAAUCCUCUGUGAAACUGCUGCCUGUCCUGUAUCCCCCAGUAGUAGAAGAGGUUGGUGGCAGCAAGAAGGGAGGCAAGAAGAAGGGUGGUUCUAUGCAGACUGUGUCUUCACAGUUUAGGGAGAACUUGGGCAAGCUGAUGACGAACUUGAGGAGCACCCAUCCUCACUUUGUGCGCUGCUUGAUUCCCAAUGAGUCUAAGACUCCAGGUCUCAUGGAGAACUUCCUGGUCAUCCACCAGCUCAGGUGUAACGGUGUGCUGGAGGGAAUCAGAAUCUGCAGGAAAGGUUUCCCAAGCAGAAUUCUCUAUGCUGACUUCAAGCAGAGGUAAAAGGUGCUGAAUGCCAGUGUCAUCCCUGAGGGCCAGUUCAUUGACAACAAGAAGGCUUCAGAGAAGUUGCUUGGGUCAAUUGAUGUUCCUCAUGAUGAGUAUAAAUUUGGACACACAAAGGUCUUCUUCAAGGCCGGUCUGCUGGGUACCCUUGAGGAGAUGAGAGAUGAAAAACUAGCAUCACUGGUCACGAUGACCCAGGCUUUGUGCAGAGGUUACGUUAUGAGAAAGGAAUACGUGAAGAUGACAGAGAGGAGGGAAGCCAUUUAUACCAUCCAGUACAAUGUACGCUCAUUCAUGAAUGUGAAACACUGGCCAUGGAUGAAGGUGUACUACAAGAUCAAGCCACUGCUGAAAUCUGCUGAAACUGAGAAGGAGCUGGCAAACAUGAAGGAGAACUAUGAUAAGAUGAAAACUGACUUAGCUGCAGCCCUGGCCAAGAAGAAGGAAUUGGAGGAGAAGAUGGUGUCCCUUCUGCAAGAGAAGAACGAUCUGCAGAUGCAAGUAGCAUCUGAAGGAGAUAAUCUCUCAGAUGCUGAGGAAAGAUGUGAGGGUCUUAUCAAGAGCAAGAUUCAGCUGGAGGCCAAACUCAAAGAGACAACUGAGAGACUGGAGGAUGAAGAGGAAAUCAAUGCUGAGCUCACUGCCAAAAAGAGAAAGCUGGAGGAUGAAUGCUCUGAGCUCAAGAAGGAUAUUGAUGACCUGGAGCUUACCUUGGCCAAAGUGGAGAAGGAGAAACAUGCCACUGAGAACAAGGUCAAGAACCUGACCGAGGAGAUGGCCUCUCAGGAUGAGAGCAUUGCCAAGUUAACCAAGGAAAAGAAAGCGCUUCAGGAGGCUCACCAGCAGACUCUUGAUGACCUGCAGGCAGAGGAAGACAAAGUCAACACUCUGACCAAGUCCAAGACCAAGCUUGAGCAGCAAGUGGACGAUCUUGAGGGUUCUCUGGAGCAAGAGAAGAAGCUUCGUAUGGACCUUGAGAGAGCCAAGAGAAAGCUUGAGGGUGAUCUGAAACUAUCCCAGGAAUCUGUCAUGGAUCUUGAGAAUGACAAACAGCAGUCUGAUGAGAAAAUUAAAAAGAAGGACUUUGAAAUCAGUCAGUUCCUUAGCAAGAUUGAAGAUGAGCAGUCACUGGGUGCUCAGCUUCAGAAGAAGAUCAAGGAGCUUCAGGCCCGCAUUGAAGAACUGGAGGAAGAGAUUGAGGCUGAGCGUGCCGCUCGUGCCAAGGUGGAGAAGCAGAGAGCUGACCUCUCCAGGGAACUUGAGGAGAUCAGUGAGAGGCUGGAAGAGGCCGGUGGUGCGACUGCUGCUCAGAUUGAGAUGAACAAGAAGCGUGAGGCUGAGUUCCAGAAGCUCCGUCGCGACCUUGAGGAGUCCACUCUGCAGCAUGAAUCCACUGCUGCUGCUCUCCGCAAGAAGCAGGCUGACAGCGUUGCUGAGCUGGGUGAGCAGAUUGACAACCUCCAGCGUGUGAAGCAGAAGCUUGAGAAGGAAAAGAGUGAAUACAAGAUGGAGAUCGAUGACCUCUCCAGCAACAUGAAGAAUGUUGCUAAAGCAAAGGGAAAUCUUGAAAAGAUGUGCCGUACUCUUGAGGACCAAUUUAGCGAACUGAAGACAAAGAAUGAUGAAAAUGUUCGUCAGAUCAAUGACUCAAAUGCACAGAAAGCACGUCUCCUCACAGAAAAUGGUGAGUUCAGCCGUCAACUUGAGGAGAAAGAAGCCCUUGUCUCCCAGCUGACCAGAGGCAAACAGGCCUUCACUCAGCAGAUUGAGGAGCUCAAGAGACAGGUUGAAGAGGAAGUUAAGGCCAAGAAUGCUCUCGCCCAUGGAAUGCAAUCUGCUCGCCAUGACUGUGAUCUGCUGAGGGAGCAGUUUGAGGAGGAGCAGGAGGCCAAGGCUGAGCUUCAGCGUGGAAUGUCCAAGGCAAACGGUGAGGUGUCUCAGUGGAGAUCCAAGUAUGAAACUGAUGCAAUUCAGCGCACUGAGGAGCUUGAGGAAUCCAAGAAAAAGCUGGCUCAGCGCCUUCAGGAGGCUGAGGAACAGAUUGAGGCCGUGAACUCCAAGUGCGCCUCUCUUGAGAAAACCAAACAGAGGCUCCAGAGUGAGGUGGAGGACCUCAUGAUUGAUGUGGAGAGGGCCAACGGUCUCGCUGCCAACCUUGACAAGAAGCAGAGGAACUUUGACAAGGUGUUGGCAGACUGGAAACAAAAGUACGAGGAGGGUCAGGCCGAGCUAGAGGGAGCAAUGAAAGAGGCUCGUUCUCUCAGCACUGAGCUGUUCAAGAUGAAGAACUCUUAUGAGGAAGCUCUGGAUCAGCUGGAGACAAUGAAGCGGGAAAACAAGAACCUACAACAGGAGAUCUCAGAUCUCACUGAACAGAUUGGUGAGACUGGCAAGAGCAUCCAUGAGCUGGAGAAGUCCAAGAAGCAGGUGGAAACAGAGAAGACUGAGAUCCAGACAGCUCUUGAAGAAGCUGAGGGAACUCUGGAACACGAGGAGUCCAAGAUCCUCCGUGUCCAGCUGGAGCUGAACCAGAUUAAGGGUGAAGUGGACAGGAAGCUGGCAGAGAAAGAUGAGGAGAUGGAGCAGAUCAAGAGGAACAGCCAGAGAAUCACUGACUCCAUGCAGAGCACUUUGGACGCUGAGGUCAGGAGCAGGAACGAUGCUAUGAGGAUCAAGAAGAAGAUGGAGGGAGACCUCAACGAAAUGGAGAUUCAGCUGAGCCACGCGAAUCGCCAGGCUGCUGAGUCCCAGAAGCAGCUGAGGAACGUGCAGACACAGCUAAAGGAUGCACAACUGCACCUUGACGAUGCUGUUAGAGCCCAGGAAGACUUCAAGGAAGAGGAACAGGCCAAUACUCAUCUGUCCAAGUGCAGAAAGGUCCAGCAUGAGCUGGAAGAGGCUGAGGAGCGUGCAGACAUUGCUGAGUCUCAAGUCAACAAGAUGAGAGCAAAAAGUCGUGACACUGGCAAGGCCAAAGAAGUAGCCGAGUAA